UACGGAGGGGGCCAGCGUUGUUCGGAAUCAUUGGGCGUAAAGGGCGCGUAGGCGGCCGAUCAAGUCGGAGGUGAAAUCCCUCGGCUCAACUGAGGAAUUGCCUCCGAUACUGUUCGGCUUGAGUCCUGGAGAGGGUAGUGGAAUUCCCAGUGUAGCGGUGAAAUGCGUAGAGACUGGGAAGAACACCAGUGGCGAAGGCGGCUACCUGGACAGGUACUGACGCUGAAGCGCGAAAGCUAGGGGAGCAAACGGG
rnacentral:rRNA from 1 species